UCCCUAGUGGCUCAGAUGGUAAAGUGUCUGCCUAUAAUGCAGGAGACCCAGGUUCGAUCCCUGGGUUGGGAA
rnacentral:tRNA from 1 species